rnacentral:rRNA from 1 species
UACGGGGGGGGCAAGCGUUGUUCGGAAUUACUGGGCGUAAAGGGUUCGUAGGUGGCCAACUAAGUCAUACGUGAAAUCCCUCAGCUUAACUGGGGAACUGCGUCUGAUACUGGGAGGCUUGAAUCCGGGAGAGGGAUGUGGAAUUCCAGGUGUAGCGGUGAAAUGCGUAGAUAUCUGGAGGAACACCGGUGGCGAAGGCGGCAUCCUGGACCGGUAUUGACGCUGAGGCGCGAAAGCUAGGGGAGCAAACGGG